AUGCUCAGAUCAGUGUCCUGUGGCCAGCAGAGCAGGGGCUUGUGGGGCCAGCAGUAGCCUCCUGCCCAGAAGUCCUGCAUUUGUUCACAGCAGCGGCUCCUCUUAAGCUGCCUUGUGCUUCAGGGGAUCUGCCUGCUGAGGAUUUGCAGGACGUGGGCCUAAAAGAUUUUAUUUCAGGAAGUCAAGCAGUGGUUCCUGUCACCGAAACAGUUAAUCAGAAAGCACCAACUCUCUACUGCAACGUGUGUGUGCGUGCACAUGUUUUUGUUUUUUAGAGCCAGCAAGAUUUGCUUUGGUUUUUUUAAAGCAGAAAACACCAAAAAAGUUGGCUGUGGUUUCAGCUGCUAUCGCUCGAGAUUUGUACUGCUGACUACCAAUCCUAAAAGAGUUAACCUGGUAAGUAUGACUCAGAAGCAGAGAGGGAGAUGCGAGGCUGAGAGCCGGGGAGGAAGCGCAGAAACAGAGGUGAGGAACAGAAUAAUUGCCAAAAAAAGGUGCAGAGUCCAGGAGCGACGCUCCCUCCGGUCUGCCUGGCCCUGGCACCGCUGGCACGGGCUCCCUGGAAAGCUGCAGUUCCGCUCUUAUAACACAAGGAGCAGGCUGGAGAAUUUAGAGCUGCGUCACAGAGCUCAGCGAGAGAGUGAGAGAGCAAGCUCCGUCGAUAGGUCUACCAGCAACAGCCCUGCUGCAGCAAGAGGGGAGAGAGGCAGCAAGAGAGGCAGAGAGGGCUCCAGGAAGAGAAGUGGCACCAACACCACGGACUGGGCUCCUGCCACCAUCCACUGCCAUUUGCACCUCGUACUCGGGCUCGCUUGGCGUAGGAGGCUUCGCCCAUUGACGAUGCUGGAGACCCGGCGCGCUUAAUCCCACGGGGAGGGAGAGUGGGCAGACACCGAAAGGGUUAACGGGAAGGAAAUUUCUGGAACCUUCUCUUCUGCGGCGCUCCAGAGCGAGCGGAGGGCUGAGGACUGCGCAGAUGGUGCACGGGCACGGCUCUUCGGUCCGGUUCGUCUCCCUCACCGCCCAGCAAUGAAGAUGGCAGCUCUGCCUGGAAGUGCUGAGGACACAGCCAGCCUAGAGCUUGGUCCUUCUGGCCGAGGAAGUCUCCCGAUUAUGCAGUGGAGUGGUACGGUGGAGAUGAAGGAUUUUCUCCCUCAGCCUGCAGCCAUGCACAAGAUGUGUCUUCCUCUGGAAGCUGGUUUCACAUGGUGGCUUAGAUUUUCCCACUUUGUAUCUAGCACCAUUUGAAAUCAGUGUUCUAGGAGCAAGAAUUACAGCGUGGGAGGAGACCAAGCACCUGCUCACUUCAACAACAUCCUCUGCUCCUCAAAUCAGCCCCUUUUCCAAAGGUUAUUUUUUUUGCCAGCCAUCCAUUUUGUAACAUCAUCUGAUUUCUAGACACUUCUCCAACCACUGUAUGCACCCUCCCAAGCCAGGGCCACACCAGCACAGCCUCCUGCUCAUGUACUUCUGCUUAAUAAACAAUGGAUAUGA